rnacentral:rRNA from 1 species
GACGAACGCUGGCGGCGUGCCUAAUACAUGCAAGUCGAACGAACCGCGACUAAGUGCUUGCACUAAGUCAAGGUGAGUGGCGAACGGGUGAGUAACACGUGGGUAACCUACCUCAUAGUGGGGGAUAACAGUCGGAAACGACUGCUAAUACCGCAUAGGACAUAGGAUCACAUGAUCCAGUGAGGAAAGGUGGCGCAAGCUAUCGCUAAGAGAUGGACCCGCGGUGCAUUAGCUAGUUGGUAGGGUAAAGGCCUACCAAGGCGAUGAUGCAUAGCCGACCUGAGAGGGUGGUCGGCCACAUUGGGACUGAGACACGGCCCAAACUCCUACGGGAGGCAGCAGUAGGGAAUCUUCCGCAAUGGACGCAAGUCUGACGGAGCAACGCCGCGUGAGUGAAGAAGGUCUUCGGAUCGUAAAGCUCUGUUGUUAGAGAAGAACAGCGCAUAGAGUAACUGCUAUGCGUGUGACGGUAGCUAACCAGAAAGCCACGGCUAACUACGUG